UCGCUUUUACUUUUCUCCUUUUUCCCCACUUUUUUCCUUCCCUGUCUUUUUUUUCCCGCUCCAGCAAAGUGAUGAGCGCCCCGGGAAGCACGGCUCGCCCCUGCCCUGCCGGGGCAAAGCGCGGCGCGCAGCCCUCCCCUCCCCCGCCGCCGCCGAGGGCCGUGAUUAUAAACCUCUGUCACCUUUUUAGCCAGUUUGACAAUAUUCAGGGUUUCCCCUGCCCCUUACUUAAACAAAGCUUCAGCGUGUCAUUUUUUUUUCCCCCCAGAAAAGAAACAGAAAUCAAAACUAGUGCCGUCAGAGUUUUCGGGCUUUCGGUGGGUUUUUUUUUUAAACUUGUAAACUUCUGGGCGCAGCGUGUGUCUGCGUGUGUGCAGCCUCGCAGGAGGCUCUAUCUGUCAAAAGCAGAGCGGGAGAGCGCGGGGGCUGCUGGCGAGGACGCUCCCGAAACCAAGCCCAUCUCCAGGAAGAUGCUGUAGCUUUAAAGAUGCUUUGACUUGAGGAUUAGUUUAAACAGGGGGCUAUAAAAGAUGUAACAGAUGCAAACUGUAAAACAAGGGCAAUUAACCCCUGCUCUGCUGGACAGAAACCCCCCUGUCCUCCCCAGCCAUUGUCCUCUCCUGCACUGCAAGUUUUGCACGAAACGGCAAAAACGAUUACCUGCCUCCACGGUUUUUUUGCAGCAAAGUGGGUUUGUUUGGUUUGCUUUUUUUUUAUAUCAUUCUGUCUCCUGACUUUGUUAGAGCUUUGCAGCAGCACUGAGCAGCUAAGUGUGCUGCUCCCAGGGCUUUUAUUCUGUCUGGACUCUCUUUUUUUCCGGGCGUUUCUGGCUAUAAAAGCUGCCUGGCUAAAACCGGUCCCCGAGCAGGUGGGCAGCGGGACAGGCAGCGUGGGCUGGGGGGCAGCGCGUUCGCCCACACUCCGCUGCUGGCGGAGGCGCCCGGGCAGCGCGAGCGGGGAGGGAGGAAGGGACUGCGAAAUGUCCUGCAAACUUUAUUAUUUGCUGGUCAUUUCUGACCGUGGGGUGUGCGGGGGCUGCAUCCUCCUCGCAGAGCCAGCACCAGCUGCACCCAGGGCGGGAACCGCGGAAAACCCGCACCCCGAGCUCUCCUCGGCGCCCGGCGUGCUAAGGCGAAACCACCGAGAAUGGGUUGUUUUAAACGCAUUUCAGUGCCUUCCCUGCUCCCUAGCAUGCCAGGAAAAAAAGUUGUCCAUAAUUUUAAACCUGCAGACCUCGAGGACACUUUUCUUCCCAGAGAACUGGCUAUCUUUUUUUCUCUCUCUUUUUUUUUUUUUUUUUGCUUUUUGGUAAACGACUUUUAAGUUCCAGUCAGUACUUUCACUUCUUGCUUUAGGAUCCCAGAAGCUAAGGUGUUACUUCACCCAGCCUCACAAAAUAAAAUAAAGAAAUGAAACCAGCUAAGCAGACAAAACAGCAAACUUUCAGUUUGGGGAAAUCCGCACGCUCGCCGGGAGCCCUGGCGCAGCCCGGCCGCCCGCUGCCUCCGCCGGCGCAGGACGCGCAGCACUAACAGUUUUGGCCAGAAAUGGUGAGAAGAAAAAGCAUGAAGAAGCCGCGAAGUGGAGGAGAAAAGGUGAAGGGAGAUGCAGCUCCUGGAGAAAUUGUAAAAAAGCCUUGCAAAGAGUUGUCGGAAGGACCGUUAUUCCUGCUGGGCAGGAGCGGGAGGAGAGACCCUGAAACACACGCCACCUAUCUUUGUGGGGAGGGAUAAUUGAAGAGCACCAAACGUGAGCAUCAUGUGGAAACGUGAUCGCCAAGUUUCUCUCUGGGAAAGGAUCUGGGAUAGAUUAUACCUUGAAGUCUCCGCGAACGCUUUAGCGGGAGAAAUGCGAUUCCGCCGCCUCCCGCCCGCCCCCCGCCCCGCGCCCGCCCCCCGCCCCGCUCCGCGCCGCUCCGCGCCCCGCCGCGCACCGCCCCGCCGCAACUCACCGCCGCCGCCCGGCCCCGCGCAGCGCCGCGGCCCCUGCCCCCCAGCGCUCAUCCAGGUUAUUUGAACAGUCAGCUAAAUCGGACGAGGCAAUAAUAAAAAAAAAGCAACCCGCGCUGAGCUCUCCGCGCGUCUCUGUUCCCUGCGCGGACGCGGAGCGGGGGCGAGGGGCGCUGCCCCCACCGCGCUGCGCACCCCGCGGAGCGGCGGGACGGGCGGCGGCGCAGCGGGCACCCAACUUCGCGGAGGUGACAAGUUUGUCACCUUUGUAAAGUAUUAAAAUUGAAAUAAAAUCGCAUCUCGGGAAGAAACUCAGACUCCACCUUUGCGCGGAGGGGAUUGGUUAUGCAAAUAUGGAAGGGGUUUCCUGGCAAAUGCAGCUUUCUACUGUAUGGUUAAUUAAAUCAUCACUCAAAAGCC